CUCGGGGAUAGCCUUUCGAAAGAAAGAUUAAUACCGAUGUCAUAGUCCUACCGCAUGAUGGGAUUAUUAAAGAAUUUCGGUAUGGGAUGGGGAUGCGUUCCAUUAGUUAGUUGGCGGGGUAACGGCCCACCAAGACAACGAUGGAUAGGGGUUCUGAGAGGAAGGUCCCCCACAUUGGAACUGAGACACGGUCCAAACUCCUACGGGAGGCAGCAGUGAGGAAUAUUGGUCAAUGGACGAGAGUCUGAACCAGCCAAGUAGCGUGAAGGAUGACUGCCCUAUGGGUUGUAAACUUCUUUUAUAUGGGAAUAAAACGUUCCACGUGUGGGAUUUUGUAUGUACCAUAUGAAUAAGGAUCGGCUAACUCCGUGCCAGCAGCCGCGGUAAUACGGAGGAUCCGAGCGUUAUCCGGAUUUAUUGGGUUUAAAGGGAGCGUAGGUGGAUUGUUAAGUCAGUUGUGAAAGUUUGCGGCUCAACCGUAAAAUUGCAGUUGAAACUGGCAGUCUUGAGUACAGUAGAGGUGGGCGGAAUUCGUGGUGUAGCGGUGAAAUGCUUAGAUAUCACGAAGAACUCCGAUUGCGAAGGCAGCUCACUGGACUGCAACUGACACUGAGGCUCGAAAGUGUGGGUAUCAAACAGGAUUAGAUACCCUGGUAGUCCACACAGUAACCGAAAAAGACUCGCUGUUUGCGAUAUACGGCAAGCGGCCAAG
rnacentral:rRNA from 1 species